AGUGAACGCUGGCGGUAGGCCUAACACAUGCAAGUCGAACGGCAGCACAGUAAGAGCUUGCUCUUACGGGUGGCGAGUGGCGGACGGGUGAGGAAUACAUCGGAAUCUACUUUUUCGUGGGGGAUAACGUAGGGAAACUUACGCUAAUACCGCAUACGACCUACGGGUGAAAGCAGGGGAUCUUCGGACCUUGCGCGAUUGAAUGAGCCGAUGUCGGAUUAGCUAGUUGGCGGGGUAAAGGCCCACCAAGGCGACGAUCCGUAGCUGGUCUGAGAGGAUGAUCAGCCACACUGGAACUGAGACACGGUCCAGACUCCUACGGGAGGCAGCAGUGGGGAAUAUUGGACAAUGGGCGCAGGCCUGAUCCAGCCAUACCGCGUGGGUGAAGAAGGCCUUCGGGUUGUAAAGCCCUUUUGUUGGGAAAGAAAAGCAGCAGGUUAAUACCCCGCUGUUCUGACGGUACCCAAAGAAUAAGCACCGGCUAACUUCGU
rnacentral:rRNA from 1 species